rnacentral:rRNA from 1 species
UACGUAGGGUGCAAGCGUUGUCCGGAAUUAUUGGGCGUAAAGAGCGUGUAGGCGGCCAAGCAGGUCAGCUGUGAAAACUCGAGGCUCAACCUCGAGACGUCGGUUGAAACCGCUUGGCUAGAGUCCGGAAGAGGAGAGUGGAAUUCCUGGUGUAGCGGUGAAAUGCGCAGAUAUCAGGAAGAACACCAAUGGCGAAGGCAGCUCUCUGGGACGGUACUGACGCUGAGACGCGAAAGCGUGGGGAGCGAACAGG